rnacentral:lncRNA from 1 species
UCACCUUCAAAGCUCUCAAAGGAAGAGUUAAUACAGAGUAUGGACCGGGUAGACAGAGAGAUUGCAAAAGUAGAGCAGCAGAUCCUUAAAUUGAAAAAGAAACAACAACAGCUAGAAGAAGAAGCAGCUAAGCCUCCUGAGCCGGAGAAGCCUGUGUCCCCUCCUCCUGUGGAACAGAAACACCGUAGUAUUGUCCAAAUUAUUUAUGAUGAGAAUCGGAAAAAAGCUGAAGAAGCUCAUAAAAUAUUUGAAGGUCUUGGCCCAAAAGUUGAAUUGCCACUCUAUAACCAGCCGUCAGAUACCAAGGUGUACCAUGAGAACAUCAAGACUGGAGUACCUGCAAGGCGCAUGAUGAAAAACCAGGUGAUGAGGAAAAAA